UUAGAAAGUAUCCGAGUUCAUUGUUCAUUUCUGCCUUACACAAGUCCUUUCAGGUUGUCUCUGGUUUCCAGAACCCAUCCCUUCUUCAGACAAGCAGAGCCCCAUAGUGAUGAAAAGUAGCAUUGUUCCCAGGGAACAGUACCCCAGAGAUUGCCAUACCAUGUUCAUCCUUCUGGAAUUAUUCUUUUUCCUUUGUGUCUAUCCAGAUUUCCUUCUGCCUUUCCAUGCUGGUCAAGAGAGUGAAUAGCAGCUCAUAUCCAAAGCAAAGCACUCUUUAGUUCAUCUCUUCACACCCAAGAGUCUGUAAAAUGAAGAAACAUCGAGGAGGAGUCUCUAACGAAGGUUUUCUGGGAUUGGAGUUGAGCAGCUGGAGUCCAGCAUCUGGGGCCUGAUGUGAGCAGCAGCCGGCAGCAUCUGGUGGGCUGCAUCAUCCUCCAACGACUUCCUCCAGUGGUUCUGCAGCAGAAUGCCUCUGAUGAGACACCUUCCUGAUUCAGAGCAAUCAGUCCAGUCGGAAAAGUGAACCCAUGGCUGAAAGGUUCAGGCAUUCUGCUGGCCUGCCCUGUUACCUGGCAGGAUGCACUCAGGCAACACUCUGGCCAGCCCAGAGUUCCGUGAGAACCUCGCA